rnacentral:tRNA from 1 species
GACGGUGGUUCAAGUCCACUUAGGCCCA